rnacentral:rRNA from 1 species
GAUGAACGCUAGCUACAGGCUUAACACAUGCAAGUCGAGGGGCAGCAUGGUCUUAGCUUGCUAAGUUUGAUGGCGACCGGCGCACGGGUGAGUAACACGUAUCCAACCUGCCGAUGACUCGGGGAUAGCCUUUCGAAAGAAAGAUUAAUACCCGAUGGCAUAGUUCUUCCGCAUGGUAGGACUAUUAAAGAAUUUCGGUCAUCGAUGGGGAUGCGUUCCAUUAGCUUGUUGGCGGGGUAACGGCCCACCAAGGCAUCGAUGGAUAGGGGUUCUGAGAGGAAGGUCCCCCACAUUGGAACUGAGACACGGUCCAA